GUAACCUUUAAGGACUGGUGGUUUUGGCUUCAGAAUUGUGUAGCCUAUCCGGACCUCUUUGAAGUAAAGUAUGUAAGUCUCCUUUGCAGGCACAUUUGGAAGGCCAGAAAUGAAGCUAUUGUUAAUGCAGUAACACCAAAUCCUACACAUAUUCUCUUAAAGGCUUAUAAUGAAUUUGAGGAUCUACGACAGAUAGCUCUUCCACAACGGCAUUCUUUGCUUAUCCCUCAAGGUUCUCCUAUUCUUAGCCUCUCAAGAUGGUCUCCACCUAAUGCUAGUUCUCUGAAAUCAAUGUCAAUGCAUCCUAUGACUAUCAAUCUACUUCAGCAGAUAUCGGGGUUACUAUCAGAAACUCUCAAGGUUGCUUAAUUGAUAGUUUGUCAUCAUCUUUCCCUAGCCUAUCCCCCUCGGCAGCGGAAGGAUAUGCAGUUCGUGUAGGAAUCUCUUAUGCAAGCAGCAAGGAUCUUUGGCCUUGUGUUGUGGAGACGGAUACUUGGCAGU
rnacentral:misc_RNA from 1 species